AAACCAUUUGCACUUGCACCUGAAAGUUGCAGGCUGACGUUGCAGGCUGGAAUAGUUGAAAUAAUUGUUCUUGUACUCUUGCAGAAGGUACCGCUUCGAAGCCAACAUGAAUGACCGUGACAAGAAUGAAAUAAUUAACGAGCUGACAAGAAAACUGCAGAGGGCAGAAGAAGAAAAGGGAAAUUACGAAUUAGCAGUUAAAAUCAUCACUGCUCAACAGUUUAUGAAGCCAGAAGAUCAAAUCUAUUGCAUUGCACACCUGGAUCCCCAAAACAUUUCGGCAUUAGUGAAGAUUGCAAGCAGUGGGCCUUUAGCACAGGCAGAGGCCAUCAUCAAUUUAUUUCAUCUCAACUACGUGAUCCUUCUUCCGCGUCCUAGGGAGCCAAACAAGUGGCAGAACAUAGUUCCAUCUUUCUAGGAGCUGCAGGUGCUGGGUGCGUGUACCUUGUGUUCAAGCAUGGAAGUUUGAGCGCAGCCAUGCAAGCGGGCAAGACCAUCUGUGAUAGCGCAAGGUCCAUUGCUGAAGAUUUUCUCUUUCAUCGUAUUCCUGGUUGCGUAUCUCAUGUUUACAAAACUCUUUCGAAUUAUGUUACUGCUAAACAUUCUGUUGGUGUCAAUUGUAAUGUGCUGAUUUGGGAUUCCGACAUGCGAUC